CAGCUUUGGAGUGAGAGACAGUUCAUAGCAAUCUUCAUACCAUGACUGUUGCCAUUGGUACCUGGGCUGACUGGCUCUUGGUUGUUGUGGAGGAAAGACACAUUGGACAGACUGGGAUUAAUCGCAACAGGAGUGACGAAAGUAAAAGCAAAUGCAGUUGUGUGGUCCGGCAGGGAUGGUUGCUUGGACUUUGCCAUUUUGGAGGCAGAGGAUAACUUGUUUGAAGCCACAGUGCUAUUUCCAUUUCUUAUAAGAAUUAUCAUCAUUAUUAUAAGCAUUAGUAUAAGCAUCAUUAUCAUCUUCUUUAACUUUCAGGUCGGGACCCAUUACACGAGGCUGCUAAGGGAGGUCAAGAGGCAGUGGUCGAGACACUCCUCAAUUUUGGUGCGCAAGUGAACGCCAAGAAUAGAGGAGGUUAGACUCCCUUACACUGUGCUUCCUGGAACGGCCAAGAUGCUGUUGCAGAGACGCUCCUCGAGAAGGGCGGAGAAGUGAACGCCAAGACUAAGGAUGGGCGGACAGCAAUGCACUUGGCAGCUUGGAAGGGACACACGGCAGUGCUGGAAGUCCUUCGGGAGGGCGGGGCCGACGUGGACGCUGCAGAUGGUAAAGGCGUCACGCCCCUCCACAAAGCAGCUUCACUAGGGCAUC
rnacentral:misc_RNA from 1 species